rnacentral:rRNA from 1 species
GGCUAACACAUGCAAGUCGAACGGCAGCACAGGAGAGCUUGCUCUCUGGGUGGCGAGUGGCGGACGGGUGAGGAAUACAUCGGAAUCUACUCUGUCGUGGGGGAUAACGUAGGGAAACUUACGCUAAUACCGCAUACGACCUACGGGUGAAAGCAGGGGAUCUUCGGACCUUGCGCGAUUGAAUGAGCCGAUGUCGGAUUAGCUAGUUGGCGGGGUAAAGGCCCACCAAGGCGACGAUCCGUAGCUGGUCUGAGAGGAUGAUCAGCCACACUGGAACUGAGACACGGUCCAGACUCCUACGGGAGGCAGCAGUGGGGAAUAUUGGACAAUGGGCGCAAGCCUGAUCCAGCCAUACCGCGUGGGUGAAGAAGGCCUUCGGGUUGUAAAGCCCUUUUGUUGGGAAAGAAAUCCAGCCGGCUAAUACCUGGUUGGGAUGACGGUACCCAAAGAAUAAGCACCGGCUAACUUCGUGCCAGAAGCCGCGGGGUAAUACA